rnacentral:tRNA from 1 species
CCGUCGAUUGCUCAGUUGGUAGAGCGGUGGACUGUAGAUCCAUAGGUCGCUGAUUCGAAUCCGGCUUGACGGA